UACAGAGGUCUCAAGCGUUGUUCGGAUUCAUUGGGCGUAAAGGGUGCGUAGGUGGCACUGUAAGUCGGGUGUGAAAUCCUGGAGGCUUAACCUCGGAACUGCAUUCGAUACUGCGGUGCUUGAGGACUGGAGAGGAGACUGGAAUUCAUGGUGUAGCAGUGAAAUGCGUAGAGAUCAUGAGGAAGACCAGUGGCGAAGGCGGGUCUCUGGACAGUUCCUGACGCUGGAGACACGAAAGCCAGGGGAGCAAACGGG
rnacentral:rRNA from 1 species